AUUGAACGCUGGCGGCAUGCUUUACACAUGCAAGUCGAACGGCAGCGCGGGCUUCGGCCUGGCGGCGAGUGGCGAACGGGUGAGUAAUACAUCGGAACGUGCCCAGUAGUGGGGGAUAGCUCGGCGAAAGCCGGAUUAAUACCGCAUACGACCUGAGGGUGAAAGCGGGGGAUCUUCGGACCUCGCGCUUUUGGAGCGGCCGAUGGCAGAUUAGCUAGUUGGUGGGGUAAAGGCCUACCAAGGCGACGAUCUGUAGCUGGUCUGAGAGGACGACCAGCCACACUGGGACUGAGACACGGCCCAGACUCCUACGGGAGGCAGCAGUGGGGAAUUUUGGACAAUGAGCGAAAGCCUAAUCCAGCAAUGCCGCGUGUGUGAUGAAGGCCUUCGGGUUGUAAAGCACUUUUGGCGGGAACGAAAAGGACUGUGCCAAUACCACGGUUCGAUGACGGUACCCGCAGAAUAAGCACCGGCUAACUACGUG
rnacentral:rRNA from 1 species